rnacentral:rRNA from 1 species
UACAGAGGUCUCAAGCGUUGUUCGGAUUCAUUGGGCGUAAAGGGUGCGUAGGCGGCGCGGUAAGUCGGGUGUGAAAUCUCGGGGCUUAACUCCGAAACUGCAUUCGAUACUGCCGUGCUUGAGGACUGGAGAGGAGACUGGUAAUUUACGGUGUAGCGGUGAAAUGCGUAGAUAUCGUAAGGAAGACCAGUGGCGAAGGCGGGUCUCUGGACAGUUCCUGACGCUGAGGCACGAAGGCCAGGGGAGCAAACGGG